CUACGGGGUGCUGCAGUGGGGAAUAUUGGACAAUGGGGGAAACCCUGAUCCAGCAAUGCCGCGUGUGUGAAGAAGGCCUGCGGGUUGUAAAGCACUUUCGGUUGGGAGGACUGCUUCUAGCACUAAUAUUGUUGGAAGUUGACGUUACCUUCAGAAGAAGCACCGGCUAACUCCGUGCCAGCAGCCGCGGUAAUACGGAGGGUGCAAGCGUUAAUCGGAAUUACUGGGCGUAAAGCGCGCGUAGGCGGCUAGAUCAGUCGGGUGUGAAAGCCCCGGGCUUAACCUGGGCACUGCAUCCGAUACUGUCUAGCUUGAGUACAGGAGAGGAGAGUGGAAUUCCACAUGUAGCGGUGAAAUGCGUAGAUAUGUGGAGGAACACCAAUGGCGAAGGCAGCUCUCUGGCCUGAUACUGACGCUGAGGUGCGGAAGCGUGGGGAGCAAACAGGAUUAGAUACCCUAGUAGUC
rnacentral:rRNA from 1 species